rnacentral:rRNA from 1 species
GUGGGGAAUAUUGGACAAUGGGGGGAACCCUGAUCCAGCCAUGCCGCGUGUGUGAAGAAGGCCUUUUGGUUGUAAAGCACUUUAAGCGAGGAGGAGGCUUACCUGGUUAAUACCUGGGAUAAGUGGACGUUACUCGCAGAAUAAGCACCGGCUAACUCUGUGCCAGCAGCCGCGGUAAUACAGAGGGUGCGAGCGUUAAUCGGAUUUACUGGGCGUAAAGCGCGCGUAGGUGGUUAAUUAAGUCAAAUGUGAAAUCCCCGAGCUUAACUUGGGAAUUGCAUUCGAUACUGGUUAGCUAGAGUAUGGGAGAGGAUGGUAGAAUUCCAGGUGUAGCGGUGAAAUGCGUAGAGAUCUGGAGGAAUACCGAUGGCGAAGGCAGCCAUCUGGCCUAAUACUGACACUGAGGUGCGAAAGCAUGGGGAGCAAACAGGAUUAGAUACCCUUGUAGUCC